GGUGGCAAUUAUACUGAGCUUGUCCCACCUGUUCCCAUUUCGAACACAGAAGUGAAAUAGCUCAAGGCCGAUGAUAGUGCGAUGAGCGCGAAAGUAGGUAGUUGCCACCU
rnacentral:rRNA from 2 species